CCCACUGACCUGGCGGCAUGCUUUACACAUUGCUAUGUCAGCGGCAGCGCGGUGGCACCCUGUGCGGCGAGCGGCGAACGGGUAUAUCAUCGGAACGUGUCCCGUAGUGGGGGAUAGCUCGGCGAAAGCCGGAUUAAUACCGCAUACGAUCUACGGAUGAAAGCGGGGGACCGCAAUGCCUCGCGCCAUGGGAGCGGCCGAUGUCCGAUUAGCUAGUUCGUGGGGUAAAGGCCCACCAAGGCGACGAUCGGUAGCUGGUCUGAGAGGAUGAUCAGCCACACUGGGACUGAGACACGGCCCAGACUCCUACGGGAGGCAGCAGUGGGAAAUUUUGGACAAUGGGAGAAACCCUGAUCCAGCCAUGCCGCGUGAGUGAAGAAGGCCUUCGGGUUGUAAAGCUCUUUUGGCCGGAAAGAAAAGGUCGCGGAUAACACCUGCGAUUUUUGACGGUACCGGCAGAAUAAGCACCGGCUAACUACGUGCCAGCAGCCGCGGUAAUACGUAGGGUGCGAGCGUUAAUCGGAAUUACUGGGCGUAAAGCGUGC
rnacentral:rRNA from 1 species